UUGGCGGAGUGGUUAACGCGAUGGCCUGCUAAUUAAUUAGUUGACAGCCAUUUCCUUCGGGAGCGAGUGUUCGAAUCACUCA
rnacentral:tRNA from 1 species